rnacentral:rRNA from 1 species
GAUGAACGCUGGCGGCGUGCCUAAUACAUGCAAGUCGAGCGAACAGACGAGGAGCUUGCUCCUCUGACGUUAUCGGCGGACGGGUGAGUAACACGGGGAUAACCUACCUAUAAGACUGGGAUAACUUCGGGAAACCGGAUCUAAUACCGGAAAAUAUAUUGAACCGCAUGGUUCACUAGUGAAAGACGGUUUUGCUGUCACUAAAAGAUGGAUCCGCGUCGCAUUAGCUAGUUGGUAAGGUAACGGCUUACCAAGGCAACGAUGCGUAGCCGACCUGAGAGGGUGAUCGGCCACCCUGGAACUGAGACACGGCCCAGACUCCUACGGGAGGCAGCGGUAGGGAAUCUUCCGCAAUGGGCGAAGGCCGGACGGAGCACAGCCGCGGGAGUGAUGAAGGUCUUCGGAUCGUAAAACUCUGUUAUUAGGGAAGAACAAAUGUGUAAGUAACUGUGCACGUCUUGACGGUACCUAAUCAGAAAGCCACGGCUAACUACGUG